UACGUAGGUGGCAAGCGUUGUCCGGAAUUAUUGGGCGUAAAGCGCGCGCAGGCGGUCCUUUAAGUCUGAUGUGAAAGCCCACGGCUCAACCGUGGAGGGUCAUUGGAAACUGGGGGACUUGAGUACAGAAGAGAAGAGUGGAAUUCCACGUGUAGCGGUGAAAUGCGUAGAGAUGUGGAGGAACACCAGUGGCGAAGGCGGCCAUCUGGGACAACACUGACGCUGAAGCACGAAAGCGUGGGGAGCAAACAG
rnacentral:rRNA from 1 species